rnacentral:lncRNA from 1 species
UCAUUGAUUUGGAAGCUAGAUCAUUGAAAACAACUUGGUAACACGGAAGCCUCUGUGCUACCAUUAGUAUAUCAAGCCUAGCUCUCUCUCUCUCUCUCUAUAUAUAUAUAUAUAUAGAGCUAGGCUGGUAUACUAUCGAUAGCACGGAGGCCUCAUGCUACCAAGUUGUUUUUAAUGAUAUGGCUUCCAAUUCAAUGAUAUAGCUUCCAAAUCUACGAUCGAUCCGUUAGACUUGAUUUACACUAUUAAAAAUAUUUGAAAACUAAAUUUCAUAAUUUUUCAGCAUCAUUUACCUAUUAAACGAGUAGUCUAAAAAUGAACGACUGAAAAUAAAAAUCUUAUAAAAAUAAUGAUAAAAGACUUAAAUUUAAGAUCAGAGGUACUGAUCUUAUUCUAAAUAGUGAAAAAAAAAAUUUUAUAAAAAUUUCAUCAAAUUUGGAGUGUUUUACACCGUUAAAUUCACAAACGCAUCACAUCUACCAUUAUAAUUGUCAAUUUUGAGACUUUUUAAUCACUAGCCAAAUAAUGUCGAAAAAUUAUGAAAUUUAGUUUUCAAAUACAUUCAAUAGUGUAGACCAAGUCUAACGGGCCGAUUGUCAAUUUGGAAGCCGCAUUAUUGAAAACAACUUGGUAGCACGAAGGCCUCCAUGUUAUCGAUAGUAUCCAAUAACAAUCUCAUUUUCAUCCAAUGUAAAACUAAUAGGGUGUCACAUUUUUAUCGUAAAUCUCAUCGUAAAUCUCAUCUGACACAUGAAUCACACAGUCCAUCUAUUUUAUGAACAACUUGCGAAUUUAAUAAGACGACUCUUAUUUGUAUGCACC